ACUCGGCGCCCAGCCAGACUAAGCACAGCCCAGUGACCCUGUUUCCAGCUGAGAUGAGAUUCUCAGUUCCCACAGUGAACGCUGUGACAGCUCUUCUCUGAGGACACAAUUUGAUCUGGAAUAUACUUCUAAUAGUUCUUCCUUUAUAAUUUGUGGAGGGGCAGAGCUGAGGAUCGAACCCAGGGCCUUACACUUGCUAGGCAAACGCUCUACCGUUGAGCUAAAUCCUCAACACUGCUGUCUCUUCUGAUGGACACUUUGGCCCACAGAAUGCUGGAGAGAACUCGUAGUUGGAACUACUCAUGCUGCAGAAGGGGAAACUGAGGCACAAGGAGUCAGGGAACUCUCUGAUAAGUACUAAGUCCUUUACCCUCCUGUUUUUUCCAAAGCUGGGAUUUAGAUAGAAGUCUCUGAUUGUAUUAGCCCUGCCCCUUUAGAUGGAAGUCUCUAUCAUUCACAGUCACUCCAAGGCCAGAGGAUGUCUGCAGCAUGGGAUGAAAGUCACACAUAUGAAGAACUAAAGUCAAAAGAUGAUGUAAUGAAACAAGAUGCGGUGGGUGCCGUUAGAAGUCACAACACUGUGAUAUUUGAAGAUAGCACCGUCUGGAUUUUUUUCCCCUCCUCUCCGUAUCAGGACUUGCCUAUAAUGAGCAAUAGCUCAGCCCGUGUCUGUCUUCACUAUCUCCCCUUCACCCCCACCCCCAACCAGCGUUUAUGAAAGUAGCAAUUGCUUCUGAGAAAAAGAAAACCGCUGGAGCUUGAAGCUCCUGCUGGAAGCCACUGCUUGCCUCAGUCUGUGGAAACCCAGACGCUAGAAAUCGGAGUUUUGCCGCGCUUCACCUUGCCAACGUGUGCUCGGGAGUUUUAUUUUUAUAAGGUCAGAGAGUUCUCUGCAAGACUCAGCACACUGGCUGGAGAGGGAUGGCUGCAUGCCCCCCCCCUCUCUUUCUGUGUGUGUAUGUGAGCUGUGUGGGCAGGUGUGAGUUGUGUAGCUGUUUACACAGGCUACACACACCUGAAUCUCCUGGGUUCGGCCCCCUUUUGUUAGUUAUUGGCACCAUUUCGCCCCUGAGUCUCUAGAGGCUCUCCUUUCUUUCUAUCUGGCUGGCCCUCACCUUGGCCUGGACACUGCCUUCUGUCUGCCUUUACUCCCUGUGCCAUGGAAGGUGUGACGCUGUGACUUCCCCACCCCCAGUUUUCCUCCUGGUGUGAAUCUGUGACCCUUGCCACUUCCCACCAGCUUUCUUCCUGGCACCCCAGCAAGUGGCUCCCUGACCUUGGCUGCUCAUUAGAAUCUUGAGAUCCUGUGUUGAAUAAACCAGAACACACAUCAUGGGGUCUAGUCAGCUUGGACGUUCUUUUGGGUGACUUCCCCUUUGAGUCUUAGAAAACACCAAUCUUGACCACACCCCUUGGAUUUCUUCUCCACCUCAGCUCUUCCCCUGGUUAACUUCCAGGGUCCUCUAAGACCCACCGAGACGUUACAUUCUCUGUGAAGCCUUCCCUAACUCCUGUAGUCUGAAUUACGAGUAUUUACCCAUCCAUCCACCCAACCAUCUAUCCAUCCACCUAUCAUCUAGCUAGCUAGCCAUCCAUCCAUUCAUCCCUCUCUUCAGCAAGUACUGAGUGCUUUCUGGUAUCUUGUGUUGGGUCAUGGAGACAACUUAGCAGAAAGAGAUUUGAGGAGUCUCUGGCAUGGCUUAGGGAGACAGGAAAGGGUCUCUAGAGAAAAUGGAAUUUGGGGGUGAUCUGAAGGCUUGCAGGAGUUAGCUAUAGAAGGGGUGAGGGCAGAUAAAGGAUUGAGUUGUGUCAUAGGGGAAGGGUUAGAGGAAGGAGUGAGGUUCUGCCCCUUACAGCAUGGUGUAUCUGCGAGCAGAAGCUACUCAGUGUGCAUUAGUUCAGUGAAAAGCCACGGCUAAAGGGCUAGUGGGAGUCUGUGGAACACAGUGGGUGAAAAAUCAGAGGGUAGAGAGGAUGAUGGGGCGUCUCCUUGUGCUUCCCAGAGAAUAUAGGUAAAGAGGAAGCACAGAGCCAAAGAGGAAAUGAGUAUUCCCAUUUCCCAGAUGCAGAAAAUGGAUAGCUAGUAUGUCUAGCAGGAGAUUGUCAGGGCUGGCAUGAACACAGGCAGGUGGCUCUGGAGUACACAUGUUCAGCCAAUGAACCAUGCAGCCUUGGCCCAAGCUACUGCCUAACCAGAGCUGGAUGCUCCUCUGUGCUCUCUCUUAGCAGCCAAGCUCUGGCUUGGGUCUGACUCCUCAGGCUAUAGGAGACUGGGGGACCAGGGAGAACUGAAGAAAGAUUUGAAUUUGCAAUAACAUUCAAGAGGAAGGAAUUUCAGUAGGAAAUAUUUUUUUUAAAGGGAGUUGAGAGUCUUUUGAAGAAUAACAAGUCUUCUACAUUGAAGGAUACAAGGGCCGUGCCAGUGAGCCUUUCUUGAGUGCUGAGCCUGACGGUGCAGCCUUGAGUCCCGGUGCCUCCCUCUGUCACUGCUACCUAUGUUCCCAGACUUUGGAAGCCAUCUCAGAUGCCUCGCCCCUCAUCUCCAUGUUUUACGAAGGUUUCACUUACAAGUGGUAAAACGCACCGGUUUAAGCAUUGAGUGUUACAACUGGUUUUUUAAACAGUAAAUCCUGGGUGUUUUUGUUUUUGUUUAAUCCGGAGUUUCCAUGUUCUCUACACCUGUUUUUCCUUGAUGUUAAUGUCUCUCCCAUUACCAUAAUACACAUGCAUGGUACGUAAGACACUUGCAUGGGCACGUGGUUAGGAGCAGAGUUCCAGACUGCAUUUGGAUUUUACUAGCUUCUCCAUGUGCAGCUCUGUCUGUUUCAGGACCCCAGGCUGCAUUCAGAUCUCAUGACUUCUUAGCCUUGUCUGCUCUGUGACAGUUCUCCGUCUCUUCACUUGUUGUGAUCUCGACAGCCAUUUUUGCCAAGUGUAUCUCCAUUGGGGGUUAACUGGUGUUUUGUUUGAGAUCAGACUGGAGUUACGGGUUACGGGGAGGAGACACAGACAUCGGGAGCACAUGGUGUCCACGUGACUUCCACUGGGGAUCCAGAGCACUUUUGUAUGUUUUCAUGUGUGUGCAGAUAUACAUGUGUGUGCUGCUGCCCGUGUAUACUGGUCAGUUUUUAUUAUCCAGUUGAAACGAGUCACCUAGGAAGGAGUGAUCUCAACUGAGGAGUUGCCUCCAUCAGAUCAGCCUAUGGUCGUGCCCGCGGUUUUCUGGACUGCUAAUUGAUAGAGCAGCCCAGUGUGAGUGGUGCUGUCCAGGCAGGUGGUCCUGGCUUGUAUAAGAAAGCUGACUGAGCAUGCUCUGUAGGAGCCGGUGUGCAGCGGGUUUCUGAGUUAAGUCCCUGCCUUGAGUUUCUGCCCUGACUGACCUGGAACUAUCAGAUGAAAUAAAUGCUUCUCUAUCCCA
rnacentral:lncRNA from 1 species